rnacentral:lncRNA from 1 species
UAGCUUACUGGGGGAGAGGUCUUUUUCAUUUAAAUCACCCUCUAAUUUGCAAACAUAGACUAAAGACAUAGACUACACAGGUAACACACAUGCAUAGAAAGUUACUGCUUUGUGGGAGAUGUAAUUAUCAUUAGUUACAUAUAUCCACUACUUCCAGGAACGGAGCCAAGUGUUUUCUAUGCACUGUUUCCUUUGAUCCCCAGAAAAAGCUAAUAAUGUAAGUAAGCCUUGUGUCGUUUCUCAUUUUCUAGGAGAAAUAACUAGACCGAGAGAAGUUACGUUACCUUUCCCAAGUCCUAGCUGGGAUCCAGGACCCAAGCCCACAUCUUUCUGGCUAUAAAACCUAUUGUCUUAACUGCUCUACUCUUAUUCUUGACCUUUUGCCAGCUCCCUCCUUAACAGUUACACAAAGAAGCAAAAUGAAAUCAGAUGUGCUGUUUCUUGCAGAAUGAAUGUUUCCAUGAUUGUAAUGUGAUUACAAUGUGGUGACGUAAUCAGGUGUUAAGCAGGGAUACCAAGGACAUUUGCCGCUUUUCUGCAUAAGGUCUCAGACACUUAAUUGUAGAAAAGACGUGCGCAUGAAGCACCCCGGGACACAAAAAUCACUUUACCUGUGAUGAGGUUCUAAAAUGAAAGAGAACAAUUCUUCGAACUCUCUCCUCCUGUUUCUUGUCUCUUUUAGUUUUCCUGAGGCUCUGUCCCACUUACUGGGUAAGUAAAAGAUUAGAUCCAAUUAGUUUCAGUCUCCCCCAGGCUAACCUCUGCCAUCUGACUGGACUCUUUGAGACAGGAGUUCACUGCAGAAUUCUGACUCUCCCCUUCCUUGCCAUGUGGCUUUGCAAGGGUCUCCCGACCUCUCGGAGCCUCGGGUGCUCCGGCUUGCAAUCAAAUGGUUUAAUAAAUAUGAACGCACGUUAAAAGUCAGAAAGUACGAAUGGACAUAAGAAAAUUAGGAAUUCUACACACUUCCCAAGCACCUACCGUGUGUUUGACAUUGAGCAGUACUCUGGACGACAGGUUGUUUAUAUCAUGCUGUCAGCUUCUUCCUUGUCUUAUCCAAGUGCCCAGCGCUGUGCCUGGCACAUACCAGGUCAGUUGAUCAGUCAGUUCAAGGCACUGCUAAGAGCCAUCUUGUCUGUGGGCCCUCCCACCUUUUGUGGUCCUUGUAACUUAUACAGUAAUCACCUUCGUAAAUUCUAACUCUAUCCACAAGUAGCAAAUUGUUCUGGUUAUACCUCUUCCCUGGGAAUCUCUUCGACCUUUGCAGGGAAGUUGUAUUCCUCAGCUCCUGGAGGGCUGACAGCAGGGAGACAGGAAACUGAUCAUGUGAACGCCGCCCCCUUCCCCUCCCCUGAGAUUUGCAAACCCUGAUUCUGCUGAAUUUCAGGUGGGAGAACGCCAAGCAAACAGGCAGUGUUUCUCAAACUCCCUGGAUAAUAAGAAUUACCUGAAGUACUUGUUUAAAAAAAUAAAUUCUGAGCCUUUCCCUAGCCCCCCUUAAUCUGCAGCUCUUGCAAAGCGGUCUUACAGGUGUAUUUUUAACACAACGCCCAUCAGUCUUCAUUAUCAUCGGAACAAUGUGAGAAAUUCUGAUGGUAUAAAUAACCUCAUUUUGCACAGGAAGAAUCUGAGCCCCAGACUGACAGCUGUUUAUUGGGGGGCUGGGGAGAGUGGACCCCACGUGCCUAAGAAGAUUAGGAAGGGAAGCCUGAGACCAGCAGAGUUGGAUCCAUAAUAGGGAGGGGUGAGGUCUGUGGCAAACUGGAAAUUCUUGUCUUACUGAAAGGGAGGGGCCUCCCCUCAGCUGCAGCCAGUUGCCUCAGUGCAGAAUGUGCUGUUGCCACUUAUAACGGAUUUCCAAGUGAACCAAAAAUCAAGGACAUUUCUAAGAUGUUUCUGCUUGGUCAAUGUUGAUUCCAAAAACACUUUUUGAAAAUAUCGUGUGAGUCACAUUUCUCUUGCUCCCAGUUUCCAACCUUGCGUUAGCACUUCGUGAGCCAGGAUUUCAUCUUUUCCCUGCCUCUGUCGUGGUCUCUUUUCUCCGUUUGAACAGUUCUUUUUAAAUGGCUUUUAAGCACCUAAUAAAAAAAGGCUGGCCUGCAGGGCCCUUCAUGGUCUGCUAUCUAUCACCUUUCCCCAGGUCACCACCUGUCGCUGGAGAAUAUGGGUUCCAGGGCCAGACUGCCUCGGUGUGCAUCCCGGAUUUGCCACUUUCUAGCCACUUUCUAACAGACUCUGGGCAAGUUUCUCUGUGUAUCGGUCUCCCCGCUUUCAAAAUAGAGCAAUAAUAGUACUUACUUCCACAGGGUUGUUAGUGCAACUGAGUUAUUCUGAAUUGCUUAGCCUUGCUCAGCUUGGAGCAAGCCCUGUGUUAAGUAUUGUGGGUACCCCAGAAGCUUGCCUCAAGUGUGCCUCAAAUGUGUACCCUCCAGAGCUGCCUUUCCCCUCCUGGAACAAAGGCCCUUCACCCACUGGGUCUCACUGGAUCUGGCAAACCUUCCCGGCUCCCACGCACGCUCAGGCCUUGAACAUAACACUGCAGCACCUGCAUUGCAGGUGUCAGUCUUCCGCACUAAAUUGUGCACAUCCUUGAAAGCAGAGACUUUUUCACUUUUGUAGCCCAGGGACCUAGCACAGUGCCAGGUACCUGAUGGGCUUUCAAUAAACAGUGUUAAAGAAGUGAAUACGCUGAUCCCAACUUCCUUACAUGAUGAUAAACUUUCUUUUUUUUUUAUUUUUUUUUUAUUUUGUCUUUUUAGGGCUGCACCUGUGGCAUGUGGAAGUUCCCAAACUAUGAGCAGAAUCGGAGCUACAGCUGCCAGCCCAUACUACAGCCAGAGCAACGCGGGAUCCCAGCCACGUCUGCAACCUACACCAGAGCUCACAGCAAGGCCAGAUCCUUAACCCACUGAGCGAGGUGAGGGAUCGAACCUGUGUCCUCAUGGAUACCAGUCGGGUUCGUUCCCACUGAGCCACAACAGGAACUCAGAUGGUAAACUUCUUAAGGACGGGGGCUCCUACAGGCUACAUCUAAGUAUGCACCGUAGCACCCAGCAGAAUUACAUUCACUGUUCAGUCAAUUAGGUCAUUUGCGAGGUUUGCUAGUUUCAAGGCUAGCUUCUGACCAAAGCACUUCCUACUUUUAUCUACAUGUCAUCCCCAUGACAUCCCUCCAGAAAUUUUUACCCUUAGGAUUCCCACUGCAGUUUUCUCGGCCUCUCUCAUGUUACUGGACCCUUUUGCUGUGGAUUUUAUCUAUUGCUGUCCAUCUCAUUGCUUUGCUAGGCUGGGAACUCCUUGAGGUCAGAGAGAAUAUCUGAUUUUUUUUGUAAACUUCUAUAUAACCAGCCUAGCUCCUUGCCCAUAAUAAGCACUCACUAUUUCUUGGUGGUCUUCAUGAAUCGAACCUUUUUUUUCCCCCCCACAGAGAUUCUUAUCUAAGGAUCAUUAAAAAGAAAAAAAGAUUCAACUCCAUUUGAGGGAUGCUAUUGAGGGUUUUGUUAAUUGGAGGGAAAGAUACCUCACUGUUUGCAGCCUUCUACCACAUAUCAAAGAAUAAAAUUUAACUCACAGAGACGAAAAUUGAAGCAAGGAUUUUAUAAGGGUUACAAUAAGGCAUUUCAAAACAUGCUUUGGAAAUACUUCCAAUUACCAAUCCACAAACAGCUGUUUCCUAAUAAUGACCCUUUUUUCUUUAUUUGGGAAAUAAAACCUGUGUCAUAGGAGAUCAGUCCUCUCAUUAUACAAGUUGAACUUUCUGAGUGCCUUGGUGAGCUGAAGAAGGGAGGGGGCAAUACUAUUUUUGGCACUGAGGUGAAGCUGCCAGUGGAAAAAAAUAGAUAUUUUCCACCAACAAUGCACCUUAGAUAGAUAAGGGGAUUUUUGUCCCUGUUGUAACAUUUCCACCUACUUGCAAUAAAUUGGUUUAAUGGUGUUUAAAGCAACAAUUGAAAAACGUUAGCAUCAUUUAGAAGUUGAAUCUGUCCUGGUCAGGUCAUUGUGCACUUGUUUACAAUUAACUGUUUCAGGAUUGGAGCUUUCAGUGCCAUGCUAUUUUUGUGUUCUGUUCAAUCAGGAGGAAAGAACAAGAGUUAAAACUUAAAAAUCGAAAUGGCACCAUUGCAUGAAUUGCUGAGAUUUUCCUGAAACAAAACAAUCUGAAGAAUGCAUAUUGCCGCUUCAUACCUCUAAGCACUAAGAAUCGAGAAUACAGAUUCAAAACACUUUUCCAAGUAUAUAUACCAUAGUAUAAGCCCCAGAUUUCUCUGACACCUUAAAAGCUUUUCUAUUGCUUUCACCUGUUUUAAUGAGACACACUGUAUUGAGCGCCCGUCCUAUGCCAGGUAAUUUGCAUGCAUUAUUUCUAAAUCAUUUGGUCAACAAAUGUUCAUUCAACACCUACUGUCUGCUGAGAAGUGAGCUAAGUACUGGGCUAGCAAUUACAAACCAGACAUUGAUUGGUUCUUACCUUCAGGGAAGUUACAGUUUUAUAGGAGAGGAACAACUCUGCAAGUUGGUUAAUUUUAUCUCCAUUUUGCAGACGAGCAAAACAGGAUGCAAAGGGACUAAUCCUGGCUGUUCCUAGAGCUCCUUUUACCAAGCAAGGCUUCUUCUCCCCACUCUGCCUUCCCAGUUUAAUUAUCUUUGCAGAAGGGUUUUUAACCAAGUAACUGGGCAAAAGAAUUGAAAUUUUUUUUUUGUCUUUUGUCAAGGCAUAUGGAGGUUCCCAGGCUAGGGGUCGAAUCAGAGCUGUAGCCGCCAGCCUAUGCCACAGCCACAGCAAGGCAGGAUCCGAGCUGCAUCUGCAGCCUACACACCACAGCUCACGGCAACACCGGAUCCUUAACCCACUGAGCGAGGCUAGGAGUCGAACCCGCAACCUCAUGGUUCCUAGUCGGAUUCGUGUCCGCUGCACCAUGACGGGAACGCCCCAAAAUACUUUUACUUUAGUGGGAACGAGGAAAAAAAUUCUGUUUAAAACUCACUGCUCUCAAUCUUUGGAUAAGGUAAGAAACAAAUAUUAACUACCAGUUAUGUUUUGGAUUGAGCACUGGCUUAAAUAAGACACAAGUCUAAACAAGGCCUAAAGCCCCACAUUUCUAGUAGAUGUGGAAAAACAGAAACUUAAUUGCAAGGUGAAGGGCUCAUGAGGCUGUUAUUCCUAAGAUAUGCAGAAACUUCGCGCUUUUUGUUACUGUUAGCUGUUUUUUUGUUGUUGUUGUUUGCUCUGCUCUGAUUUCUACUUUUUCCUGAUUGUAUGUAGUCAGGACAAGGAUGAGAGACAGAUGGCAGGGGAGCCAUGGGGGGUUUGAGACGUAG